AUGAUUCUGACUUUUCUGCUUACUCCACAGGAGAUGCGUGACAUCCACUCUAAACGCACAGUGUUUUAUAGCAUGGUAGAAGUUGUCGGUAUCUCCAACGACGAUCUCAAUGUACUGCGUCCCCUUCUAAAGGGCACCGAUCCUGCCGCCCGCGUUUCGGUGACAACAGAGCAGCAGCAUCUCAUUGAAACUCUCGGACAUCUUAUUGCGACACAGGCCGUCGACCGUCGUGAGCCGUCUCUCCCCAUAGAUAUCACUAUCUUAAGUGGCCAUAGGCAACUGCUGGGUGCACUGACGCAGUGCAAAAAGAAAAAGAGGGAGAGACCAGACAGAAAGGUGCUGGAACGGCUGUUUACGAGCUUGCAACCAAAAACGACUAUCCAGCAAGGGAUCGAUAAUCUUGCGGAAUUAGUAAGAGAAGGACGUUACAGAGUACUCAGCAUCUCUGGGGAAGAGCCAGGAACCAUAUAUUUACCAGUCAAACGUGUGGACUUGGACUGGUAUCUACAGAAUUCGGACGAGCUGGCAGCAAGUUUGCUAACCUCAGGAACAGCCCUGACAGUACGGUCUCUCGCUUCCCCAAUAUUGAAAUGGAUGUCACAACAACACUGUUAAGAAUACCUAAAUGAAGUAAAACUCCUCUACAAAAUGCUGUAACAGUGUUCACGGAUGCCGGCCGGAAAUCGUGCACAGCGGCUGCAACAUGGCAUGAGAACUGUCAGUGGAAGCAUAAGAUUCUACAAGCGCAGCCCGGGGAUUCCCUUCAAACCUUGGAACUCCCAGCCGUAGUAUGGGCAUUUAUGAACUGGUCACAAAAAUCUAUUAAGGUAGUUUCAGACUCCUUAUACGUUGUAGGCCUGGUAGAAAGGAUAGAGGAUGCUAGAAUAAGAGAGAUUAACAAGGCUUGCGUUGGCUAUUGCUUAUUAUAAUUAUGCUUUUACUGCUUUGCAUAGUGUCUGGUUGUAUUAUGAAGGGCAUUGACAAAGCCACACAGAAAGCUAUGCUCGUACAAAAGAAAAAGGGGGAAUUGUUGGGGAAUGGCUGCAAGAGCAGGGCGGCCAUGAGAAUAUGUACGAGCAUAGCUGGUGCAGCGGCACAGAGUGCGUAGCCAUGAGAAAAUACUAGGAGUUAGAUAGGAGUCACAACGUCCUUGGGGCAGCAUGUAAACAGCGGGCCCACAUCUGCAGCUGUGCUCUGUGGAUGUGGGGGAGGCUGACAAGUAAACUGGCUUAGCAGCACAGGGGUGAAUGCUGACUGAGCAUUGGUUAAGGCUGAGCAGCCCACCAAGCAGUCAAUGUUGUGCACCAAUAGUAAGAGAAUACAUGUUUAUUGGAAACCUAUAUAAACCCUAUGUGUGCAAUAAUAAAGGGAAGCUUGAUCAUUCAUAUUGAGUACUGUCGUGCUUCCCUGCUCGAGAACAAUCUAAUUAGGACACUAUCUAUGGCAAUCUAGAGCACCCAAAACCCUAUGGUUUUGCAGCACCGGAAAGUGGAGUGCUGUAUCAUAGUCAAGGUAAUCUGUACUUCCAUUCCUAUUCACACACCGCAUUGAACUCUACUGCUGUACUCCUUACGCCAGUUUGUGUAAGAUUCAGAGACCAGCAGCAUCUGUCAGCUGAUCCUCACCUUAAGGAAAGAAGCACAAAGCUGUCAUGGGAGGCCUAAGGGACAGUGGAGGAAAGAAAAGGAAAAAGGAGGUAGCAGCUGUCAUGGUGGUGAAAGUUUCCUGCAGGUACAAACUCCAUUUCUUCUCUUUCAGCACAGCACCCUCUAGCGCCAUUCCCAAACUCUGUAAGCGAUUUACAUUUCCUUGGGAUGAGACCCGAUACGCCAAAGGUUACAAUACGUGGGAGGACGACUUCAGUUCAGCCUGACUGUAGACCAUUCUACGUUCAUUUAGAAGGCAUGAAUAAAUGGUCUCUAUACAGGUCUCCGUUAGUAUUAAGAAUGAAUGGCUGGAUUGGGAAUACCCUGUAGUUACAUGUGAACAGGCAGCUGGGAUCUGCUCUGACUUGAACAGGUGGUUCCAGAAUCACAGAACAGAAGGGGUUGGAAGGGACCAAUGGGGACCAUCAGGUCCAACCCCUGCAAAUGCCAGGUCUGCAAGCUCUCACCAGAGAACUGGGACAAUGCUUCCCUAGGAGGCAAGCUCGUCUCCUCUGAGCAGCCCCAGCCUGCAGAAGGUUCAGCAUCCUUGCUGAAUCCAAAGGCUUGUUUUCAAGCCCUGGAUAAUUUCUAUGGCCGAUUUGUGACCGUGUCAACUGUUUGGAAGUGAGAACUGUAUUUAGAGAGCAGAGUGCUCACAAAGGAACAACAGUCAUCCGAAAUUUGGGAAAAAACUCAUUAACUGCAGUGUGGUGUCAGUGAGUAGGCAUUCUUUAUUUAUGACAUCAGAUGCACGAGGGGCUAUUUCCACCCUAACCACACACAUUGAACGAAAGACCUUCAGCUUAUGUACAUCACUUGUGUUACGUAUGAGAAGAUUCCCUGGUCAGUACAUGCAUAUUCAAUAUUCCCCCAUAAUCAUUAACAGAGUGCCCCACAUCCUUGCACAUGUUCAGUGAUUUUGAGUGGGGAUCUCAAGUCCCUGUGGGAUGAAGUAAGCGGCCUUCCUCUUCAUGACCGCAAAUUGCCCUCCUCCUGUUGCUUUCCAGGUUGGCAGUAUCGGAGCGCUGUACAGGAGAGGGCCCCACACUGACUGAGAUAACAGUGAUGUACGGGGUCAUGGAGUACAAAAAGGAUGUUUUCCUCAUCAUCAGCCCCGGUGUGCUUUGCUUAGCAUUAGCUGGCUUUGUGAAUGCAAAUAUCACUCAGUUAAGCAUGUUUAACAUCAGUCCGAGCGUAUUUUGCUUAGUAUUAGCUAGUUUAGUGAUACCACGACCAGAAAGGUCAUGGAACAGUGGAGCAGAGUUGGGGUUUCCAGAAGCACCAUCCCGGAGAGGUGUGAAGAAACCAGCAGGAAGUCUGGAGACGUUUCAUUGUGACAUUCUCCUCCUUUCUACAUGCUUAAGCACUGAUUAUUUUAUUGGCCGCAGAGCUACACUAUAGGCGCGCGACGUGCGCGCUCCCGCCCGCCUGGGAGGCAGCAGCACCAAGCGCGCUCCCGCUCCC
ensembl:lncRNA